UCCGGUGGGCGGGCUGAGGCGGGGAGCCAGAGAUGACCGCCGCGGGGGCGGUCAGCGCGGGGCUCGAAGCGCGGAGAUGGCCCUUCUGCUCCGUGUCCCCACCCUCCAUCUCGGGUCUAGAAUCUGGCCGCCUCCAGCCGCCCCCACCCCUUGCCCGGCGCACCGUGUUCCACCGCCCGUGAGUGUGACUGGGAUGAUUCUCUGUGAAGCCCGGAUCCGGUCCCCUUCCCCCCGCCCCACACGGAGUAACAAGGGAGAGGGUCCCGGCAGGGUUGGGAGAAGCAUGGAGGCUGGUGGCUCUCGCGAGAUCUGUGGCUUCCCGUUGAGCAGUCGUCACCCUUCCCUGCCUGAAGCUGAAGGAGGGGGCUGUCCACAGCCCAGGCUGGAUCAGGUGUCAGGAGACGUAAGGAGAUGCGGGUUCAAUCCUUGAGUCGGGAAGACCCGUGGAGGAGGGCAUGGCAACCCACUGCAAGAUUCUUGCCUGGAGAAUCCCACGGACAGAGGAGCCUGGUGGACUACAAUCCAUGGGAUUGCGAAGAGUCGGACACGACUGAAGUACCUUAGCACACACGCAAGGGGGUUGUCUGCCCAGGAACUGCCCUGACAGUUGUCUGGUCUGCAGGUGUGGUCAGCCUUCUCUCGCUGGUGGGAAGCCACUGCCUUUCCUGCCACACGUUCCUCACCAAGAGGAUCUCCCAGCUCCUGGGUGAUGCUGUCCAGACCUCCUCAACACCCAGCGCCACCACCCACUUCUUUGGCCAGUCUUUGCCGAGGCUGGUGUGUCUUUGGCUCCAGGAUGGCCCGCCAUCCAGUUGGAGCCACAGAUGAAAAGCAAUGCCAGUGUCCAGCUGCCCCAUGUGCCCAGAACCAGCAGCUCUGGAACCCCAGCCCCUGAGUACAUUCUUGCAGUGGGAUCAUUUUGGGGGUGGGGCGGGGGG
ensembl:lncRNA